rnacentral:rRNA from 1 species
UACGUAGGCAGCAAGCGUUGUUCGGAGUUACUGGGCGUAAAGGGUGUGUAGGCGGUUCCUUAAGUUUGCUGUGAAAUCUCCCGGCUUAACCGGGAGGGUGCGGUGAAUACUGAGGGACUAGAGUACGGGAGAGGAAAGUGGAAUUCCUGGUGUAGCGGUGAAAUGCGUAGAUAUCUGGAGGAACACCGGUGGCGAAGGCGGCAUCCUGGACCAACACUGACGCUGAUGAGCGAAAGCCAGGGGAGCAAACGGG